GAUUUCUGUGUAUGGUGUGCCUGGCCCGCUGCGGUUACGUAUGUGAGUGCCGGGUUGCAUCUACCAUCCUUCUAGACUCUCCCUAUCUUUCCUUCACUGGAGGGAUAGGAUCUGAGUGUAGAUCGUUUACUUUGAAAAAAUUAGAGUGUUUAAAGCAGGCUUUUGCUAUGAAUACAUUAGCAUGGAAUAAUAAGCUAGGACUUUGGUUCUAUCUUGUUGGUUUGUAGGACUAAAGUAAUGAUUGAUAGGGAUAGUUGGGGGUGCUAGUAUUCAGCGGCCAGAGGUGAAAUUCUUGGAUUCGCUGAAGACUAACUUAUGCGAAAGCAUU
rnacentral:rRNA from 1 species